GACGAACGCUGGCGGCGUGCUUAACACAUGCAAGUCGAACGGAAAGGCCUGCAGCUUGCUGCGGGUACUCGAGUGGCGAACGGGUGAGUAACACGUGGGUGAUCUGUCUUGCACUUCGGGAUAAGCUUGGGAAACUGGGUCUAAUACCGGAUAGGACAGCUGUUUAGUGUCAGUUGUGGAAAGUUUUUUCGGUGCAAGAUGAGCUCGCGGCCUAUCAGCUUGUUGGUGGGGUAAUGGCCUACCAAGGCGUCGACGGGUAGCCGGCCUGAGAGGGUGUACGGCCACAUUGGGACUGAGAUACGGCCCAGACUCCUACGGGAGGCAGCAGUGGGGAAUAUUGCACAAUGGGCGGAAGCCUGAUGCAGCGACGCCGCGUGGGGGAUGAAGGCCUUCGGGUUGUAAACUCCUUUCGACAGGGACGAAGCUUUUGUGACGGUACCUGUAUAAGAAGCACCGGCUAACUACGUG
rnacentral:rRNA from 1 species